UGAAGGAACAUCAUUUACACUUUCUGAAUAUCAAUGAGGGGGAAAAAAAACUUUGAUUCUGUAGUAGAAAAAAACUAUUUCUGCAGCAUUUAAUAUGCAAUACAAACAGUAUUUACAUAUAGACAUAAACAACAUUGAUACAUAGCCUGCAUAGGGGAACAAUAUUUACAUAUCCUGUGUUACUGAUAAUGAAAGAAAUUGUGUUACUGAUAACUGCGAUACUAAUAACUUCUAAUAACUUUAAAACUGCGAUACUAAUAUCUGUAUUCACAUAGUGAUAAAUCUAUAAUUGUCAUAAAUAUUUAACUAAAUGUACAGAUAUUUGAUAAAGCAUCAUAUAAUUUGCAAAAUGUAAUGUUAGGACUUAAAGCAUAACCAUAUUAUUGCAGUUAUAAACAAAUGUUAUGCGCUAUGAUCACGCUAAGUGUUUGACACUGAUUUAAAAUCAAAAAUUAAAAGGAAUAUAAUAAAACGUAUUUCUUACUUUGAAAAAUAAUCCUUACAUAAUAUUUACAUGGAAUAUACAAAUUCAGCCAUUGGACGGCAUAUACCAAUAUUACGAAAUUAAUAUCAAUAUUUAAUAUUAAUCUAAGCAUUAAAAUUACUAAUUUCUUAGUCAAAUCAUUUUCAUCAAUUAGAUUAUACAAAAAGAAACAGAACUAACUAGAAUUUUUACGGUUUAUGUGCAAUAAACUACCCGCUACACACGUACAUGCAAACUACCUGGCAAUCUGCUAGACAACAGUUCAGCAUUAAGAUAGUGGUGUACAAACAUGGGAUAACAAUCUGAUUGAGUUACUGGAAGAAAAGAAUUAAAGAUCAUGGGUGUUUCAAGUGGUUCAACUGAAAGCACCUGUGAAAAGCGCCAUUUAGAAGGAGAUGCCUCAGACGUAGACAAUUUCACAUCUGAUGAAGAGACAAAGCUGCUGAAAGACAGAAAAAAGUCAUAUUUAG